GAGGCUUUCUUGCUCCCCCUCUUCAGUAACUAUAACAUACUCAGAAUUGAGAUAUCUAGUAAAAUAAUCAUUUAUAUUUUAGUUGAUCUUCUAAGUUAGAGUUCUUCUAUAAUUUAAAGUGCAAGGGGCUACUCCCCCUACCUAACAUCAUCUGGUGUUGACAUAUCAUCAAUCACUUGUUUAUCAUGUAACUCUCCUUCAUUUGUG
rnacentral:lncRNA from 1 species